CCAUGGACAGUAGACAAUUUGAGUUCUCAGCAAUUGGAUUGAUGUCAAAAUUGGAACAUUUUCAAAAUACUUGGGAUAAAAUCAAGGAGAAAGUGAGGUGAAAAAAUCUGUAGAGGUAAAACAAGAAAAAAGGUUUUACAUCAGAAUAUGUCUAUCAGUGAACUCUUGUGAUAUGGAUCUACCCAGAUGGGCAAGUAUCAGUCCUAUUGAAAUA
rnacentral:lncRNA from 1 species